rnacentral:misc_RNA from 1 species
GAACGCAUAUUGCACUCUCUGGUAUUCCGGAGAGUAUGCCUGUUUGAGGGUCUGUUAAAUAAAAAUCGGGGUUGUUGCUGCUUUUUUUUUGUGUGGUGACGCUUCGGAAUUGGGUUUUUCUUUACCCUUCGGGUUAAGCGACCUAAAAUUUUGCAUGAUUUUUUUCGAACGUAUUUGAAUUUUUUUACGUACGUUUGUGAUAAAUCGAAUAUAUUAGGUGUGGUCAUCCUCAUGAUUUCACGUCUAUAAUUUUUUUAUCAUUUUUAGACCUCAAAUCAGGUAAGAACACCCGCUGAACUUAAG